AUUGAAUGCUGGCGGAGUGCUUUACACAUGCAAGUCGAACGGCAGCACGGACUUCGGUCUGGUGGCGAGUGGCGAACGGGUGAGUAAUGUAUCGGAACGUGCCCAGUCGUGGGGGAUAACGUAGUGAAAAUUACGCUAAUACCGCAUACGAUCUAUGGAUGAAAGCGGGGGAUCGCAAGACCUCGCGCGAUUGGAGCGGCCGAUAUCAGAUUAGGUAGGUGGGGGGGUAAAGGCCCACCAAGCCAACGAUCUGUAGCUGGUCUGAGAGGCCGACCAGCGCGACUGGAACGGAGACACGGUCCAGACUCAUACGGGAGGCAGCAGUGGGGAAUUUGGGACAAUGGGCGAAAGCCUGAUCCAGCCAUUCCGCGUGCAGGAUGAAGGCCCUCGGGUUGUAAACUGCUUUUGUACAGAACGAAAAGGUUUCUACUAAUACUAGGAGCUCAUGACGGUACUGUAAGAAUAAGCACCGGCUAACUACGUGCCAGCAGCCGCGGUAA
rnacentral:rRNA from 1 species